UUAUUUUGUAAAGAAACCGGAAGUAGUGCUCCAUAACGCUCACUCUCGCUUAACAUCGCUAAUACGGACCGAGCACAUGCUUCUGCUUUCUCCCGUGUGGGUAUAAAACGAGGGAAAAAGAAUGUCCGAGAACCAUCAAGGAAGCAUGUAACUUGUCCUGGCUUCUCUGGUGGAAAAAAAACUCCUUCCUUGGUCAGGUCUUUUUGCGAUGUCCAAAAGACUUCUGAAGAUCCGGUCCUCCAACAAGGUGUGGGCCAGAGAUCCAUUUGAUGGCGAGCCUCCCAUGACAAAUUGUGAAGUCAACCACCACAGCUCUCAACAAUCGGAUCCCGUGGUAGGAUAGUGCCAAUCUUGCUGAAAGGCACCAACAAGAUCUCAAUCCGGAUAUUUACCCAAUAUCCAUGACUUUUGACUAUUCCCCCUGACUUUAUAACUGAACUGAUCUUGGAUCUAUAAAGAACAUUUUCCGCAAGGAACUAAUUGGAAAACAAAAGGACUGUUUGAAAGAGACAAUUUAUUUUAUUUUAUUUUUUAUUUUUAUUUUAUUUUUGGGCCCAGGUUAUGUGCGCACCAUUUCAUGUUGUAAACUGUUGCCAUGUUUGUAAACCAAAUAUUUUCUAAACCAAAAGAAAAAAACUAAAGUUUACAAUUUUCACAAAUUUAAA